GGGGUCCGCCGGCGUCGCGCGGGCCUGCGGGGAGGCAGCUUUUGUUUCCCGAGGGAGAUGGUUCUGGGCGCCGCGGCCUCCGCGUCCCACCUCUGCGGGAGCCGAGCGGCGGCUGCCGAGCCCCAGGACCCCCUAACACGGAAUUUUCCUCAGAAGUGUGUGGACAGCGGCCUUGGCCGCCUCCCUGCCCGGGCCAAAGGCGGCGUCGCGCCUCGCGCGAAAUUUCCCGUCGUUUUCAGCCCGGGGAGGGUUUUGGCGUGGCCGCCGCCGCGUGGGUGGGCCCAGGAUGCCGGGAGAAGGCGGCGGUGGAGGCUCUGCUGCCCUGCAGGCUCGCGCCCACCAGGACGCCCGCGGGCCUAGGCCGGGGAGGGACAGUGAGGGACAGAGUGGGGCAUCGAGGGACAGUGUGGAACAGCAUGGGACCGAGUGGGACGGCGCGAGACAGUGAGGGACAGCAAGGCCAUGUUGAUGUGUUCUUCUAUUCUGGAUGAAAGAAGAAUGAGAAAAGUGAUGUGGUGACGACAAGCCUACACUCUGCGUGUUUCCACUGAGGAGCCUAUACAACCUUGAGCCAAAGAAGGGGAUCUGGCACAGUGCAGUUUCAGACACCAGCAGUUCUUGGAGAGAGACGCUGCUGGCAGGGAGCAUCUUCCCAGCAUCUCUGAAGGGAAGGUAGCAAGUGACCAGAAGUCUGUGAGCAUUUACUUGUGAGCCCAUACUCAUAAACAUCCACAGGCAUGUUUCCUUAAAAAAAUAGACUUAGUUUGUCCAUAAACUUAAAGUCCCUACAGAACUUUUAAAUCUGAACAGCUACACGUUUUCUCUGGAAUGCAAAGACAAUGGGGUAUCCUCAGUGACUGGGUCCAGUAGCAUUGUAAGAACUGAGUGAACACCAACUCUUCUUGGAAUUUCUAACUUUAUUCAUUUAUUCAUUCAUCCAUCAAUAAGUAUCUAUUGAACUCCUACUAUGUGCCAGUCCAUACUAGGUACCCAAUAGUGAGCAAGAGAGAUGCAAACACUCCCCUCAGAGAACUGUCAGUUGUGGGGGUUAUGGACAAGCACACAGGAUGUUGUGAUGAAAUGCUGUGAUGGGGGCCAGCAGGGUGCUAUGGAAAUAAUAAGAGAGGCACCAGCCCAGAUGAAGGGAGGUCUACGCUGAGAACUGAAGGAUGCUUCAGCAGUGAGAUAAAGGGGGAAGAAUGUUCUUGGCAGGGCAAACAGCAAAUAUUCAGAAUGUGACGUUUGAGGAGGUCAAGUUCACUGUCAAUGACAAGAAGGUAAGAGAUGAGGUUGGAGAGGUUAAGGAGGGGCUGGGUUUUACUUGACUGUACAAGCCAUGUUAAGAAGUUCAGACUGUGCUAAAAUUGGGGAGCCACUGCAGAGGUUUAAAGUGGACAGUGAAAUGUUUAAAUUUGCAUGUUAGAAAGGUUACUCUUGUUGCCAUAGGCACUGUGUGACCAAAAGAGUUAUAAUUUGGGGCUGGGAGUGCUAGGUUAUCUUCUGAGUUCUGACAUCGUUUCUGGCUAGGGCAUCAGUUCUUCUAACUCUGGGACAUGAAGACCUGUACCUAUCCUUGGCAGUAAUUAUGGCUCAGACAGGAGACAAGAAGGCAGGCAGAGAGAGAGAGACAAAUGCAGAGUUUUGGUCAGCUCCUUGGUCUUCACCCACUCAGGGAUAAAUUCUACCACGUAAAGGAAAUGCUGAAUCAAAGGGACUGAACAUCUUUAAAAACUUUUUCAAUUGCCAAAGUGCAACCAGAUUAUUGGACCACUUGGGACAUCCACCAGCAGUACAGUGCCCAUUUGAUGACACACUCUCCAACUUCAGAUUUUUUGAAGCUCAUCCAAGACAUUGUAUAACAUUCGGUCAUCGUGUCUCCUUAGGCUUCCCUUGACUGUGACAGUUUCUCAGACUUCCUGUUUGUGAUGAUCUUCACAGUUUUGAGGUGCCUGGUCUGGUAUUUUGUCGAAUGUCCCUCAUUGGGAUUUAUGUAAUAUUUUUCUCAUGAUGUUAUUGGUUUUGGGGAGGAAGACCAUAGAGGUAAAGUGUCAUUUUCAUCACAUCAUAUCAAGGAUACAUGCUGUUACCAUGAUUUGUCACUGUUGAUGUUGACCCUGACCUGAGGAAUACAGAGCCUUUUUUUUUUUUUUUUGAGGAAGAUUAACCCUGAGCUAACUGCUGCCAAUCGUCCUCUU